rnacentral:rRNA from 1 species
UCAAAAACAUGUCUUUUUGAUAAUAAUUUAAAGUCUAAUCUGCCCACUGAUUUAAAUAUUAAAGGGCUGCAGUAUAUUGACUGUACAAAGGUAGCAUAAUCAUUAGUCUUUUAAUUGGAGACUUGUAUGAAAGAUUUGAUGAGAUAUAAACUGUCUCUGAUUUAUUAUUAGAAAUUAAUUUUUUAGUUAAAAAGCUAAAAUAAUAUUAAAAGACGAGAAGACCCUAUAGAGUUUUAUAUUUUAUUUAUUUAAUAUUUAAUAUAUAAUUAAAUUAUAUUAAAUAAAUAAAAUAUUGUAUUGGGGUGAUAAAAAAAUUUAAUAAACUUUUUUUUAAAAAUGAACAUAAAUAAGUGAUUAAUUGAUCCAUUAAUAAUGAUUAAAAGAAAAAAUUACCUUAGGGAUAACAGCGUAAUGUUUUUUUUUAGUACAAAUAAGAAAAAAAGUUUGCGACCUCGAUGUUGGAUUAAGAUAAAAUUUAAAUGCAAAAGUUUAAAAUUUUGAUCUGUUCGAUCAUUAAAAUCUUACAUGAUCUG